rnacentral:tRNA from 7 species
GCGGGCGUGGCGAAACUGGUAGACGCAAGAGACUUAAAAUCUCUCGGCUUCGGCUGUGCGGGUUCGAUCCCCGCCGCCCGCACCA